GAUGAACGCUAGCUACAGGCUUAACACAUGCAAGUCGAGGGACCGGCGCACGUGUGAUUAACACGUAUCCAACCUGCCCUUUACUCGGGGAUAGCCUUUCGAAAGAAAGAUUAAUACCCGAUAUAAAGGAUGGGGAUGCGUUCCAUUCGGUUGUUGGUGAGGUAACGGCCCACCAAGCCUUCGAUGGAUAGGGGAUCUGAGAGGAAGGGACCCUACAAUGGAAAUGGGACACGGGCCAAACUACUAGGAGGGGCAGCAGUGAGGAGUAUAGGUCAAUGAGCGUUAGCCUGAACCAGCCAAGUAGCGUGAAGAAGGAAGGCUUAUGGGUCGUAAAGUUAUUAUAUAUAAGAAUAUGGAUUAUAUGAAUAAGGAUCGGCUAAAUCCGUGCCAGCAGACGCGGUAAUAC
rnacentral:rRNA from 1 species